ensembl:lncRNA
UAGGUGAAAUCAAGUAGCCAAUUUUAUUUUUUGAUGCAUGGACAUCCAGUACUGCACUUCAGAGUCACACUGCUAGCAAUCGAUGCAGCGAUUCUGUACUGUACAGGAGAGACGUCACGGAGGAGAUCGUCUGCAGCGAUCAGGACGCAGGACACAAUGUGACGUAAAAAUAAGCAUGAAAACUUGCACUAAAAAAUCCGCAAAACAGCGAGGUGAAAGGUGAACCACGUUAUAACGAGGGACCACUGUAAUUUUGAAGCCAACAGUAGUGCAGUUUCCACCAGGACCCUGUUGGCCAAAAGUACUGGAGGCAGUCAUUAACCUGGCUCUCGACUGAUCUGCUUAUCACACAUUUGAUUUCCAUGUGUGACAACUGCAAGUGUCCAGAGUGAGGACAGACAGAGGGACCCACUGCUGCACAUCAUCUGCGAGGCUUUGCACCCCUGAUGAUCCACCAGGACAAACUCAGCAGUGUGUGAGGAAGCGGAGGAGGAAGAGUCAGCAGCAGCUGACAGAUGGAGAGAAUAGACAGACUGUGAAGGACUGCUAGAAAAGUUUAAAAUAACUCAUUGUCUGUCCUGAAU